GAUGAACGCUGGCGGCGUGCUUAACACAUGCAAGUCGAACGGAAAGGCUCCUGCUUGCAGGGGUACUCGAGUGGCGAACGGGUGAGUAACACGUGGGUGAUCUGCCCUGCACUUCGGGAUAAGCCUGGGAAACUGGGUCUAAUACCGGAUAGGACCACAUUUUGGAUGGUGUGGUGGAAAGUUUUUCGGUGUGGGAUGAGCUCGCGGCCUAUCAGCUUGUUGGUGGGGUAAUGGCCUACCAAGGCGUCGACGGGUAGCCGGCCUGAGAGGGUGUACGGCCACAUUGGGACUGAGAUACGGCCCAGACUCCUACGGGAGGCAGCAAUGGGGAAUAUUGCACAAUGGGCGCAAGCCUGAUGCAGCGACGCCGCGGGGGGGAUGACGGCCUUCGGGUUGUAAACUCCUGUCGCUAGGGACGAAGCGUUUUUGUGACGGUACCUGGAGAAGAAGCACCGGCUAACUACGUG
rnacentral:rRNA from 1 species